AUUGAACGCUGGCGGCAGGCCUAACACAUGCAAGUCGAGCGGAGCGGCGGACGGGCGAGUAAUGCCUAGGAAGCUGCCUGGUAGUGGGGGAUAACGUCCGGCAACGGGCGCUAAUACCGCAUACUAUCAGAUGAGCCUAGGUCGGAUUAGCUCGGUGGUGGGGUAAAGGCCUACCAAGGCGACGCUCCGUAACUGGGCUGAGAGGAUGAUCAGUCGCACUGGAACUGUGACACGGUCCAGACGCCUACGGUAUGCAGCAGUGGGGAAUAUUGGGCAAUUGGCGAAAGCCUGAUCCAGCCAUGCCGCGUGUGUGAAGAAGGUCUUCGGAUUGUAAAGCACUUUAAGUUGGGAGGCGUUACCAACAGAAUAAGCACCGGCUAACUCCGUGCCAGCAGCCGCGGUAAUAC
rnacentral:rRNA from 1 species